AGGUAUCCUGGUCCAUUCCUUUUGGACUAAAAAAAAUAACAACUCAUUCCUUUUAAAACAUGCGGUACAGAUUCAUUCCAUCGUCAAAUUAAAAUGUCCGGCCAACGGGAAGAAGACGAUCUAUACUCACUGCCCUAGCCCGCAGCGAUGGUUCUCUCCUGGAUGCUAUCUCUCUCUCUCUCUCCGAAUAGAGCGCGCUCUCUCUCCCAAUUAACUCCCAAGCACUCUCUCUCAAUUAGCUCUCUCUCGGUUAGCGCUCUCUCUCUCCCUCUCCCUCUCCUUCUCCCUCUCUCUCCCUCUCCCUCUCCCGCUCGCGCUCCCUCCCCCUCCCCCUUAUCAGCUUGAAUUGUUGAUUUUGAUUAAUUGUUGAUUUUGAUUAUGUAUGAAUUGUCGAUAUUACGAAUUUAUGUGUUUGUAUAUUUGCUUUAUUGAGUUUUGAUUGUUUUUUUGAGGUGGAUUAUGAAUUGUUGCUUUUUGUUUGGUAAUUAGUAGUGUAAUUAUGGGAUAAAGUCCUUUCCUCAGCUUCUGCUUGUAACAAGAAGAGUGCUUGUAGCAAUAAAAAGUUUUAAGCAGUGUGUGUGUUUAUAAACAAUUGAUUAGUGAAGAUUGAGAGAGUUUAGAAAAUGAAAUGGAGAGGUGAGAGCUAAGUGAAUCAAAUUAAUAGCAAGGAUUAACUCAACAAUUAAUAUAACAUUGACACGCGACAAAAACUCUACUUUACCACCGAUGAUAGCUGCAAUGGAAGUAUUCGCAAAAUGGGCUACACAUGUGAAGUAGAAGUACACAGCUCCGUCAUCUGGAGCUACUGGGGGAUUUAUAUCAUUAGCAUUUUCACUGAUGAUUCCUUUUGUGUUUGUAUUGGUAGCAUGAAAGUGGUAAGAGACAUUUUGAAGCACAGUGUAAUCAUCGUAAAUUAUAAUAAAAGGUCACAUUCCCAUGAUAAGUUAAACCUGUAAAGGAAAAUUUCAUUUGAAAAUGAUAAUCCAAACUGAAAUGUAUACUAAAUUUGGUAAUUUGUUUAUGUUCUUUUUGUAGAGGACAAACUGAAAUAUAAGCUACGAAACUUGAUAUUACAGUACAGAAUUUGAAAACUUAAUUCACUAAAAUUCACUACAAUGGCUUAUUUAUAGCUGACCACAAUUGCAUUAGCUCAACUAAGGAUGAGAAAAAGUGCAGAUUAUAUAUAAAUGUCUUGGUUGUUAUGUAGACUCCAAUUACAAUUAAUAUAUGCUCUUUUUCCCUCUACUUAUUGUAUUGGUAAAAUUACAAUUAAUAUAUAAAUGUCUUACAAUUAAUAUAUAAAUGUCUUGGUUGGUCGUAACUGGCCAGUACUGUCGUAGUGCUGCAAAGAAUCUUGUUAAUGUACUGGAGCUUCAUUUUGAAAUCUCCUAGCUCAUAAAUACUAUACAUUGUUCUAAUAGAGAACUUGCUCUAAUGUUCCCUGCUUAAAUGAUUUUGACUUUAUUUAACAAAGGUUCUAUGUACUUUGUAUAUGUAUAUUAAUAUCAGAAAAGCACUCUUCUUUUGUGUAUAAAAUAUAAAGAAGUUAUCCUGAAUUCUCUAUUACAGCGGAAAUGGUUUGCUCUUGUAUGAUAAUGGUUUACUCUUCUAUAAUAUGCUUUAGAAUUUCAAUAAAAAAUGGGUUCUGCUUAUUGUGAAUAUGGUGAUUAGUCUGCCAAAUCGUAAUGCAAGUGUUGGAGCUGGACUAUUCUGUCUGGAAUCUUUUCUCAGAAUUGGGUUAUUCAGGUGAGUUUAUUUUGAUGGACAGCUUGUGAAAUCUUUAACAAGAAUUGGGUUUAUUUGUGAUUUAGUUGGCUGUUGAUGACGCUGAUGUUUUAGUUUCAUGUAUGACUUGGUUAUUCUCAAAUAAUAGGCCUUGUCAUCGCGCUUUAUGGAGAAAAAUUUGCAUACUAAUGAUUUCUAAUGAAAAUUGCUGAAUUAAAAUUUGAGGUCAAGUGGCAUUAAGUUAAGGCAGUGAGCAUCGAAAACGUAAACUUCAUCUUCUUUCCUCUGUAUAUAAAAGCAUGUCAAAAUCUUCUUUCCUCUGUAUAUAAAAGCAUGUCAAAGUAUAUAAUUUAGAAGUGUAGCAUUCUUGUGUUCUGCUAUCUCAAGACAGAACUAUAUUUCCAUGUUCACUAUAUUCAGUUAUAAAGAAAUGACCCCUGAAUCACCAUUAAGGAGGUUCAAACAGUUCAUAUACAUAUUUCUUCUGCAUGGGUGAAAGGAGAGAGAGAGAGAGAGCCUAGAAUGAUCGAAAAGAAUCUGCACUCUAUAAUUUAUGUUUUCUGUCUUCAUUGUUUACAGACAUGGAAUCAAAUACUGAUACUAUCGUGAACGUGGAAUGGACGUGGAAAGAGGCGCAUGGAGAAUCAAAAGGAAGUGGUCUAAACUAGAAGAUGAGAAAUUGGUCGAGUCUCUUUUAGAACCUGUGAACAAUGGAGCAUACAAAGCUGACAAUGUUUUCAAGCCGGGAUAUCUUGGAUUUUUGGAAAUUUCAUUGAGCGUCAAACUACCAACUUCAGGCCGGGAUAUCAAGCCGGGAUAUCUUUUUUUUUUUUUUGUCUUAGUUAUGCACUUAUGAAUAUUUCAGAUUUUUAUUUUGUACUUAUUUUGAUGAAGUUCAAUUUAAAAUUUGUAUAUAUUGCCUUUAGUUAAUUGUAUUUAUUUUGUCGAUUUGAAAUAUUUUUUUUUUUCAAAUUACAAACUAACAAUCAGGUUUUACAAUGAU
rnacentral:lncRNA from 1 species